rnacentral:rRNA from 1 species
GACAACGCUGGCGGCGUGCUUUACACAUGCAAGUCGAACGAUGAAGGGGUGCUUGCAUCUGGAUUAGUGGCGAACGGGUGAGUAACACGUGAGUAACCUGCCCCAGACUCUGGGAUAACUUCGGGAAACCGGAGCUAAUACUGGAUAUGACACGGCCCCGCAUGGGGUUGUGUGUAAAGGAUUCUGGUCUGGGAUGGGCUCGCGGCCUAUCAGCUUGUUGGUGGGGUGAUGGCUUACCAAGGCUUUGACGGGUAGCCGGCCUGAGAGGGUGACCGGUCACAUUGGGACUGAGAUACGGCCCAGACUCCUACGGGAGGCAGCAGUGGGGAAUUUUGCACAAUGGGCGCAAGCCUGAUGCAGCGACGCCGCGUGAGGGAUGGAGGCCUUCGGGUUGUGAACCUCUUUCGCUCAUGGUCAAGCCGCAGUUUUGAUUGUGGUGAGGGUAGUGGGUAAAGAAGCGCCGGCUAACUACGUG